rnacentral:rRNA from 1 species
UACGUAGGGGGCUAGCGUUGUCCGGAAUCAUUGGGCGUAAAGCGCGCGUAGGCGGCUUUGCAAGUCGGGUGUGAAAUCCCCAGGCUUAACCUGGGAACUGCAUUCGAGACUGCAUUGCUAGAGUAUGGGAGAGGGAAGUGGAAUUUCCGGUGUAGCGGUGAAAUGCGUAGAUAUCGGAAGGAACAUCAGUGGCGAAAGCGACUUCCUGGACCAAUACUGACGCUCAUGUGCGAAAGCGUGGGGAGCAAACAGG